CCUACGGGAGGCAGCAGUGGGGAAUAUUGGACAAUGGGCGAAAGCCUGAUCCAGCAAUGCCGCGUGUGUGAAGAAGGCCUUCGGGUUGUAAAGCACUUUAAGUUGGGAAGAAAAAGCUCUGGCUAAUAUCUAGAGCCUUGACGGUACCAACAGAAUAAGCACCGGCUAACUCUGUGCCAGCAGCCGCGGUAAUACAGAGGGUGCUAGCGUUAAUCGGAUUUACUGGGCGUAAAGCGUGCGUAGGCGGUUUGAUAAGUCGAUUGUGAAAGCCCCGGGCUUAACCUGGGAAUUGCAGUUGAUACUGUCAGACUAGAAAACGGUAGAGGGAGGCGGAACUCCAGGUGUAGCGGUGAAAUGCGUAGAUAUCUGGAAGAACACCGAUGGCGAAGGCAACCUCCUGGGCCUGUUUUGACGCUGAGGCACGAAAGCGUGGGUAGCAAACAGGAUUAGAUACCCUGGUAGUCCACGCCGUAAACGAUGAGAACUUGACGUUGGUUUGCUUAGCAAAUCGGUGUCGUAGCUAACGCGAUAAGUUCUCCGCCUGGGGAGUACGGCCGCAAGGUUGAAACUUCAAAUGAAAUUGACGG
rnacentral:rRNA from 1 species